rnacentral:rRNA from 1 species
GGGAAUAUUGGACAAUGGGGGCAACCCUGAUCCAGCCAUGCCGCGUGAGUGAUGACGGCCUUAGGGUUGUAAAGCUCUUUUCUCCGGGACGAUAAUGACGGUACCGGAGGAAUAAGCCCCGGCUAACUUCGUGCCAGCAGCCGCGGUAAUACGAAGGGGGCUAGCGUUGCUCGGAAUCACUGGGCGUAAAGGGCGCGUAGGCGGCUGAUUUAGUCGAGGGUGAAAGCCUGUGGCUCAACCACAGAAUUGCCUUCGAUACUGGUUGGCUUGAGACCGGAAGAGGACAGCGGAACUGCGAGUGUAGAGGUGAAAUUCGUAGAUAUUCGCAAGAACACCAGUGGCGAAGGCGGCUGUCUGGUCCGGUUCUGACGCUGAGGCGCGAAAGCGUGGGGAGCAAACAGG